CCCUCCCUCUUUCUUCAUGCCUAACACAUGCAAGUCGAACGAGACCUUCGGGUCUAGUGGCGCACGGGUGCGUAACGCGUGGGAAUCUGCCCUUGGGUUCGGAAUAACAGUUGGAAACGACUGCUAAUACCGGAUGAUGACGUAAGUCCAAAGAUUUAUCGCCCAGGGAUGAGCCCGCGUAGGAUUAGCUAGUUGGUGGGGUAAAGGCCUACCAAGGCGACGAUCCUUAGCUGGUCUGAGAGGAUGAUCAGCCACACUGGGACUGAGACACGGCCCAGACUCCUACGGGAGGCAGCAGUGGGGAAUAUUGGACAAUGGGCGAAAGCCUGAUCCAGCAAUGCCGCGUGAGUGAUGAAGGCCUUAGGGUUGUAAAGCUCUUUUACCCGGGAUGAUAAUGACAGUACCGGGAGAAUAAGCCCCGGCUAACUCCGUG
rnacentral:rRNA from 1 species